rnacentral:rRNA from 1 species
UUACCAAACUGUUGCCUCGGCGGGAUCUCUGCCCCGGGUGCGUCGCAGCCCCGGACCAAGGCGCCCGCCGGAGGACCAACCAAAACUCUUAUUGUAUACCCCCUCGCGGGUUUUUUUAUAAUCUGAGCCUUCUCGGCGCCUCUCGUAGGCGUUUCGAAAAUGAAUCAAAACUUUCAACAACGGAUCUCUUGGUUCUGGCAUCGAUGAAGAACGCAGCGAAAUGCGAUAAGUAAUGUGAAUUGCAGAAUUCAGUGAAUCAUCGAAUCUUUGAACGCACAUUGCGCCCGCCAGUAUUCUGGCGGGCAUGCCUGUCCGAGCGUCAUUUCAACCCUCGAACCCCUCCGGGGGGUCGGCGUUGGGGAUCGGCCCUGCCUCUUGGCGGCGGCCGUCUCCGAAAUACAGUGGCGGUCUCGCCGCAGCCUCUCCUGCGCAGUAGUUUGCACACUCGCAUCGGGAGCGCGGCGCGUCCACAGCCGUUAAACACCCAACUUCUGAAAUGUUGACCUCGGAUCAGGUAGGAAUACCCGCUGAACUUAAGCAUAUCAA